rnacentral:rRNA from 1 species
UACGAAGGGGGCUAGCGUUGCUCGGAAUCACUGGGCGUAAAGCGCACGUAGGCGGAUUUUUAAGUCAGGGGUGAAAUCCUGGAGCUCAACUCCAGAACUGCCUUUGAUACUGGGAAUCUCGAGUCCGGAAGAGGUGAGUGGAACUGCGAGUAUAGAGGUGAAAUUCGUAGAUAUUCGCAAGAACACCAGUGGCGAAGGCGGCUCACUGGUCCGGUACUGACGCUGAGGUGCGAAAGCGUGGGGAGCAAACAGG